ACGGAAGGCAGCAGUGGGGAAUAUUGCACAAUGGGGGAAACCCUGAUGCAGCGACGCCGCGUGAGUGAAGAAGUAUUUCGGUAUGUAAAGCUCUAUCAGCAGGAAAGAAAAUGACGGUACCUGACUAAGAAGCCCCGGCUAACUACGUGCCAGCAGCCGCGGUAAUACGUAGGGGGCAAGCGUUAUCCGGAUUUACUGGGUGUAGAGGGAGCGUAGACGGCUUUGCAAGUCUGAAGUGAAAGCCCGGGGCUCAACCCCGGAACUGCUUUGGAAACUGUAGAGCUAGAGUGCAGGAGAGGUAAGUGGAAUUCCUAGUGUAGCGGUGAAAUGCGUAGAUAUUAGGAGGAACACCAGUGGCGAAGGCGGCUUACUGGACUGUAACUGACGUUGAGGCUCGAAGGCGUGGGGAGCAAACAGGAUUAGAUACCCUGGUA
rnacentral:rRNA from 1 species